rnacentral:rRNA from 1 species
UACGUAGGGUGCGAGCGUUGCCCGGAUUUAUUGGGCGUAAAGGGCGCGUAGGCGGCUCGGCACGCCCGUUGUGAAAUCGCCCGGCUCAACUGGGCGGGGUCAGCGGAUACGGCCGAGCUUGAGCAAGCUAGGGGGCAAUGGAAUUCCCGGUGUAGUGGUGGAAUGCGUAGAUAUCGGGAGGAACACCAGUGGCGAAGGCGGUUGCCUGGAGCUUUGCUGACGCUGAUGCGCGAAAGCGUGGGGAGCGAUCCGG